ACUGUGAAAUCAUGACCUGAGCCGAAACCAGGAAUUGGACACUUAACCAGUUAAGCCGCCCAGAUGCCCCUGUGGGAUGCCAGAGUGUUCUUAUGAGCCAAGAGGACUUGUGGAAGGAUCUGGCCUUGGGGUUGUUGUAAAACACUUAUCUUUGAAGGCUUCUCGCCAAAGGACAAAGGCCAUCAGCAAAAAGAGGCUGGAAGGCAUCACUGGCUACAGAGGAUGAAGAUCGGAUGAGAAGCACUUGGCCAGAGACCAGAAUGGCCCCAGGGUCCCCAGGGAGUGACUUUGGUGAGGAUUCCGCAAAGUGCUGUUGAAGAGAAGGAAUCAUCACUGGGAAACUGCCUCACCCAGAAGACGCAAACAUCGUUCCAUAUCUGCCUUUGAUGAAAAAGUUCUGGAGAUCUGUUUCACCAUAAUGUGACUCUACUUCACAUUACCAAACUGUAUACUUAAAAAUGGUUCAGAUGGUAAAUUUAAUGUUAUGCGUCUUUUAACCACCUUCAAAAAAAGAGUGAAGGAAGUAUGGGAUCCAAAA